UACGUAGGGUGCGAGCGUUGUUCGGAUUUACUGGGCGUAAAGGGCGCGUAGGCGGCCACCGCAAGUCAGUUGUGAAAUCUCUGGGCUUAACCCAGAAAGGUCAACUGAUACUGCGGGGCUAGAGUGCAGAAGGGGCAACUGGAAUUCUCGGUGUAGCGGUGAAAUACGUAGAUAUCGAGAGGAACACCUGCGGCGAAGGCGGGUUGCUGGGCUGACACUGACGCUGAGGCGCGAAAGCUAGGGGAGCGAACGGG
rnacentral:rRNA from 1 species